AUUGAACGCUGGCGGCAGGCCUAACACAUGCAAGUCGAGCGGAUGAAGGGAGCUUGCUCCUGGAUUCAGCGGCGGACGGGUGAGUAAUGCCUAGGAAUCUGCCUGGUAGUGGGGGAUAACGUCCGGAAACGGGCGCUAAUACCGCAUGCGUCCUGAGGGAGAAAGUGGGGGAUCUUCGGACCUCACGCUAUCAGAUGAGCCUAGGUCGGAUUAGCUAGUUGGUGGGGUAAAGGCCUACCAAGGCGACGAUCCGUAACUGGUCUGAGAGGAUGAUCAGUCACACUGGAACUGAGACACGGUCCAGACUCCUACGGGAGGCAGCAGUGGGGAAUAUUGGACAAUGGGCGAAAGCCUGAUCGAGCCAUGCCGCGUGUGUGAAGAAGGUCUUCGGAUUGUAAAGCACUUUAAGUUGGGAGGAAGGGCAGUAAGUUAAUACCUUGCUGUUUUGACGUUACCAACAGAAUAAGCACCGGCUAACUUCGUG
rnacentral:rRNA from 1 species